rnacentral:rRNA from 1 species
CCCUUGGAUGUUCUGGGCCGCACGCGCGCUACACUGACGAAUGCAACGAGCUUAUAACCUUGGCCGAAAGGUCUGGGUAAUCUCCAAAUUUCGUCGUGAUGGGGAUAGAUUAUUGCAAUUAUUAAUCUUCAACGAGGAAUGCCUAGUAAGCGCAAGUCAUCAGCUUGCGUUGAUUACGUCCCUGCCCUUUGUACACACCGCCCGUCGCUCCUACCGAUUGAAUGGUCCGGUGAAGCGUUCGGACCGUGGCCUUUGGACGGUUCGCCGUCUGUUGGCUGCGGGAAGUUCGUUAAACCUUAUCAUUUAGAGGAAGGAGAAGUCGUAACA